rnacentral:rRNA from 1 species
GAUGAACGCUAGCGACAGGCUUAACACAUGCAAGUCGAGGGGCAGCAGGGGAGUAGCAAUACUCCCGCUGGCGACCGGCGCACGGGUGAGUAACACGUAUGCAACCUGCCCUUGUCAGGGGGAUAAGCGGAAGAAAUUCCGUCUAAUACCGCAUAAUGCUGCGGGGAGACAUCUCCCUGCAGCCAAAGAUUUAUCGGACAAGGAUGGGCAUGCGGCGCAUUAGCUGGUUGGCGGGGUAACGGCCCACCAAGGCGACGAUGCGUAGGGGUUCUGAGAGGAAGGUCCCCCACACUGGUACUGAGACACGGACCAGACUCCUACGGGAGGCAGCAGUGAGGAAUAUUGGUCAAUGGCCGGGAGGCUGAACCAGCCAAGUCGCGUGAGGGAAGACGGUCCUAUGGAUUGUAAACCUCUUUUGUCAGGGAGCAAAAACUGCCACGCGUGGCAGGAUGAGAGUACCUGAAGAGAAAGCAUCGGCUAACUCCGUGCCAGCAGCCGCGGUAAUACGGAGGAUGCGAGCGUUAUCCGGAUUUAUUGGGUUUAAAGGGUGCGUAGGCGGACAGUUAAGUCAGCGGUAAAAUUGAGAGGCUCAACCUCUUCCCGCCGUUGAAACUGGUUGUCUUGAGUGGGCGAGAAGUAUGCGGAAUGCGUGGUGUAGCGGUGAAAUGCAUAGAUAUCACGCAGAACUCCGAUUGCGAAGGCAGCAUACCGGCGCCCAACUGACGCUGAAGCACGAAAGCGUGGGUAUCGAACAGGAUUAGAUACCCUGGUAGUCCACGCAGUAAACGAUGAAUACUAAUUGUUCGGGUCAAAUGAGAUCUGAGUGAUACAGCGAAAGCGUUAAGUAUUCCACCUGGGGAGUACGCCGGCAACGGUGAAACUCAAAGGAAUUGACGGGGGCCCGCACAAGCGGAGGAACAUGUGGUUUAAUUCGAUGAUACGCGAGGAACCUUACCCGGGCUCAAACGACACAGGAACGAUUUGAGAAAUCAGGCAGUCCUCCGGGACCUGUGUCGAGGUGCUGCAUGGUUGUCGUCAGCUCGUGCCGUGAGGUGUCGGCUUAAGUGCCAUAACGAGCGCAACCCCCAUCGACAGUUGCCAGCAGGUGAAGCUGGGCACUCUGUCGAGACUGCCGGCGCAAGCUGUGAGGAAGGCGGGGAUGACGUCAAAUCAGCACGGCCCUUACGUCCGGGGCGACACACGUGUUACAAUGGCAGGUACAGCGGGAAGCCACCUGGCGACAGGGAGCGGAACCCGAAAGCCUGUCUCAGUUCGGAUUGGAGUCUGCAACUCGACUCCAUGAAGCUGGAUUCGCUAGUAAUCGCGCAUCAGCCACGGCGCGGUGAAUACGUUCCCGGGCCU